rnacentral:lncRNA from 10 species
ACCAUCUUGGCUCACUGCAACCUCUCUCUCCCGGGUUCACAAGAUUCUCCUGCCUCAGCCUCCUGAGUAGCUGGGAUUACAGGCACCCACCACGAUGCCCGGCUAAUUUUUAGUAGAGACAGGGUUUCACCAUGUUGACCAGGCUGGCCUCGAACUCCUGACCUCAUGUGAUCUGCCCGCCUGGGCCUCCCAAAGUGCUGGGAUUACAGGUGUGAGCCACUGCGCCCGGCCAAGAUGUGGUGUUUCUAAUGGCAGGCACUUGAACCCAAUUGAACCCUGAGAGCUCUCUGAGAGGGCUGUGUGUCUUGGGAAUGAGAGAGUUAUGAGCUUUCUAGAAGUUGUUAUGAGUGGACCUGACUACCUAGAGAGAGUAAUACAGAAGCUCCGUGCCGAUCACAGCUACCUCAUUACCAUGUUCCUCCAAGAUGGCCGCCCCUGAGGAGAAUCAUCAACUGGGCUUUACGGAAGAGAGAAAUCCAAACGACCAUCAGCAACAAAUGAAAGACUGAAGUUGAAAGGAAAUCCAUAAUUUUUGAAUGCUGGCCGAGGUCUGUGACCUCUGACUGAAUGGUUUCCAAGCUCCGAAUUCCUAGGUGAUGUUUUCAUUUGUUCACACUUGCUGAAGAAGGGAAAGGCUCUCUGAUUUACGUGUAAGCAAAACAAUCUAAACAGUAGGAUAAAAUCAUGUUGGAAUGGAGUUCUGUGUGGAUGCUCCUUUGAACCAAAUCAGUUCCACAACUGACCCUG